CCCCGCACAAGCAGCGGAGCGUGUGGUUUAAUUCGAUGCUACACGAAGAACCUUACCAGGGUUUGACAUACAAGUAGUAGGGAAAGGAAACUGGACCGACCCUUCGGGGAGCUUGUACAGGUGCUGCAUGGCUGUCGUCAGCUCGUGUCGUGAGAUGUUGGGUUAAGUCCCGCAACGAGCGCAACCCUUGUCAUUAGUUGCUACAUUUAGUUGGGCACUCUAAUGAGACUGCCGGUGACAAGCCGGAGGAAGGUGGGGAUGACGUCAAGUCCUCAUGGCCCUUAUAGGUGGGGCUACACACGUCAUACAAUGGCCGGUACAGAGGGUAGCCAACCCGCGAGGGGGAGCCAAUCCCACAAAGCCGGUCGUAGUCCGGAUCGCAGUCUGCAACUCGACUGCGUGAAGUCGGAAUCGCUAGUAAUCGCGGAUCAGCAUGUCGCGGUGAAUACGUUCCCGGGUCUU
rnacentral:rRNA from 1 species